AAGAAUAAAAUAAAGGAGCCGCUAACUACCUUAAAAGUGAUAAAUCACUUUAUUCUUA
rnacentral:tRNA from 1 species